rnacentral:rRNA from 1 species
CGGGACGGGCGAGUAAUGCUUGGGAAUCUAGCUUAUGGAGGGGGAUAACUACGGGAAACUGUAGCUAAUACCGCGUAAUAUCGAAAGAUUAAAGUGUGGGACCUUCGGGCCACAUGCCAUAGGAUGAGCCCAAGUGGGAUUAGGUAGUUGGUGAGGUAAAGGCUCACCAAGCCGACGAUCUCUAGCUGGUCUGAGAGGAUGACCAGCCACACUGGGACUGAGACACGGCCCAG